AGAGUUUGAUCCUGGCUCAGGAUGAACGCUAGCUACAGGCUUAACACAUGCAAGUCGAGGGGCAUCAGGAAGAAAGCUUGCUUUCUUUGCUGGCGACCGGCGCACGGGUGAGUAACACGUAUCCAACCUGCCCUUUACUCGGGGAUAGCCUUUCGAAAGAAAGAUUAAUACCCGAUGGCAUAAUGAUUCCGCAUGGUUUCAUUAUUAAAGGAUUCCGGUAAAGGAUGGGGAUGCGUUCCAUUAGGUUGUUGGUGAGGUAACGGCCCACCAAGCCUUCGAUGGAUAGGGGUUCUGAGAGGAAGGUCCCCCACAUUGGAACUGAGACACGGUCCAAACUCCUACGGGAGGCAGCAGUGAGGAAUAUUGGUCAAUGGGCGCUAGCCUGAACCAGCCAAGUAGCGUGAAGGAUGAAGGCUCUAUGGGUCGUAAACUUCUUUUAUAUAAGAAUAAAGUGCAGUAUGUAUACUGUUUUGUAUGUAUUAUAUGAAUAAGGAUCGGCUAACUCCGUGCCAGCAGCCGCGGUAAUACGGAGGAUCCGAGCGUUAUCCGGAUUUAUUGGGUUUAAAGGGAGCGUAGGUGGACUGGUAAGUCAGUUGUGAAAGUUUGCGGCUCAACCGUAAAAUUGCAGUUGAUACUGUCAGUCUUGAGUACAGUAGAGGUGGGCGGAAUUCGUGGUGUAGCGGUGAAAUGCUUAGAUAUCACGAAGAACUCCGAUUGCGAAGGCAGCUCACUGGACUGCAACUGACACUGAUGCUCGAAAGUGUGGGUAUCAAACAGGAUUAGAUACCCUGGUAGUCCACACAGUAAACGAUGAAUACUCGCUGUUUGCGAUAUACAGUAAGCGGGCAAGCGAAAGCAUUAAGUAUUCCACCUGGGGAGUACGCCGGCAACGGUGAAACUCAAAGGAAUUGACGGGGGCCCGCACAAGCGGAGGAACAUGUGGUUUAAUUCGAUGAUACGCGAGGAACCUUACCCGGGCUUAAAUUGCAGUGGAAUGAUGUGGAAACAUGUCAGUGAGCAAUCACCGCUGUGAAGGUGCUGCAUGGUUGUCGUCAGCUCGUGCCGUGAGGUGUCGGCUUAAGUGCCAUAACGAGCGCAACCCUUAUCUUUAGUUACUAACAGGUCAUGCUGAGGACUCUGGAGAGACUGCCGUCGUAAGAUGUGAGGAAGGUGGGGAUGACGUCAAAUCAGCACGGCCCUUACGUCCGGGGCUACACACGUGUUACAAUGGGGGGUACAGAAGGCAGCUAGCGGGUGACCGUAUGCUAAUCCCAAAAGCCUCUCUCAGUUCGGAUCGAAGUCUGCAACCCGACUUCGUGAAGCUGGAUUCGCUAGUAAUCGCGCAUCAGCCACGGCGCGGUGAAUACGUUCCCGGGCCUUGUACACACCGCCCGUCAAGCCAUGGGAGCCGGGGGUACCUGAAGUACGUAACCGCAAGGAUCGUCCUAGGGUAAAACUGGUGACUGGGGCUAAGUCGUAACAAGGUAGCC
rnacentral:rRNA from 1 species